AGAGUUUGAUCCUGGCUAAGAACGAACCCGGGGGGCGUGCUUAACACAUGCAAGUCGAACGAGAAAGCUUCNUUCCGGGAAGCGAGUAGAGUGGCGCACGGGUGAGUAACNGGGUAGGUAAUCUACCCCUUAUAUUUGGGAUAACAUCGGGGAAACCUGGUGCUAAUACCCGGAUACCCUUCAUUUCUUCCCGGGUUAUGGAGGAAAGGUGCCCUCCUUCAUGAAAGCUACCCGUAUAGGGAUGACCCUGCGUCCCAUUAGCUAGUAGGUGGGGUAACGCCCCCCCUAGGCGACGAUGGUUAGCGGGUCUGAGAGGAUGAUCCCCCCCACUGGAACUGGAACACGGACCAGACUCCUACGGGAGCSACCAGUGAGGAAUAUUGCGCAAUGGGGGAAACCCCGACGCAGCGACGCCGCGUGAGUGAGGAAGGUUUUCGGAUCGUAAAGCUCUGUCAGAAGGGAAGAAGUGUUGCAUGGUUAAUACCCAUGUAAUUUGACGGUACCUUCAGAGGAAGCACCGGCUAACUCCGUGCCAGCAGCCGCGGUAAUACGGAGGGUGCAAGCGUUGUUCGGAAUUACUGGGCGUAAAGGGCGCGUAGGCGGCCCGAUAAGUCAGAUGUGAAAGUCCAUGGCUCAACUGUGGAAGUGCAUUUGAAACUGUCAGGCUUGAGUAUCGGAGGGGAGUGUGGAAUUCCCGAUGUAGAGGUGAAAUUCGUAGAGAUCGGGAGGAACACCGGUGGCGAAGGCGACACUCUGGACGAAUACUGACGCUGAGGCGCGAAAGCGUGGGGAGCAAACAGGAUUAGAUACCCUGGUAGUCCACGCCGUAAACGAUGUGAACUAGAGGUAGGGGGUGUUGAUCCCUCCUGUCUCGCAGCUAACGCAUUAAGUUCACCGCCUGGGGAGUACGGUCGCAAGAUUAAAACUCAAAGG
rnacentral:rRNA from 1 species